UGAUUGGUCAGCAGAAGAGAAACAUCUCUCUGCUGAGCUCUGCCAGGAACACAUUGGAGAACUGGGCUGAACAAACCUUUUCCACAGAAGAGGAGUGAAUGUGGAUGAAGAGAAGGCUGCCACUCUUUAUCCUGUCUCCAAAGCAAACAUUGCAUACUGUGGAGGUGAAACCUGGAGGAUCAUUGGCUAUGAGGUGUCAACCUGGACACCCAGAAAAUGAGGAAUAUACAGCUAGUGACCACCUAUGAAAGGUUUCCUGUAAGUGAUUUGACUAGCAUUGCAGUGGAACUCUUUUGUCUUUGACAAGGAUAGAAUCUAAUUUUCCAAGACAUCAUUCAACUGCCUUCAUUGUUAGCCCAUCAUCUCUUUUCCUGCAGUCCCCUGCCUUUCUCCACAUCUUUCAAGUUCUGCAACAAAUAAGGCAGGGGUUAAAAGGACAAACGACCUCCUUCACUGUACAACCCCAUUUUUUGCCACAGCAUAUGAACUGAAUGAGGCAAGAAUCCUGCAUGAGAAAAAAAUAAUGAUCACAUACUUAAAUGUUGUGCCAUAAUGAACGUGCAGAAGAGAUCUAAAUUAAGGUCUUGCAGGAAGACUUGCCUCUGGCUUUUCCAAAAGUAUUGAGUAUUUGACUACUUCACUUUUAUGGUCUUUUAAUGUGUAUGCAUGUGUGUAUGUCUGUUUUCUCCUAGAUGUUUUUAAAAGCAAACAGAAGGAAAACAAUCAGUCCCAUGAGAAUAUGGUGAAACCUACAUGGCAGAAGGCAGAAACUAAAAUAGGCCAUCAGCAGGGUUGGAACAUUUAGAUUCCCUGCACAGGCCACCGCCUUUCAAUGCCUUCAAUAAUGAAGCAUGUAAAAGCAAUAGAAGUGUGUCAUCCUCUAGCACUCAGAUAUACACCCUUUGCCAAGGGGUUUCAAAGCUUUCUGCUAUGGCUUCUUGUGUUCAGUUCUAGGUUCUGUAGUGGGAUGGUCAUCUUGCAGUUGUAGAAAAUUUCUACCAGUCUCCUUCCUUUCCACCCAUCCCUCCCCACCCUUCCCCAGAAGCACUGUUCCUUACAACCUGUGCCAAUCCUAGCUUUACCUCACUCCUAGCUCAUUGUAUCAGUCCCAAUAUCCAUCAUUAACUGUCCCAUCGUGUCCCAGUCUCCUUGGCAAAGUUAUAAGCCACCAAAAACUGUAAUGUAAGCAUUAAGGAACCUUUAUAGGUAAAACUAAUUGCACUGACUACAAUUAAUACUUUGCAUUUUUGUGUGUUGCACUUUGAAUAUAGAGGUUUUCCAAGGGGAUUGUAACAGUGGGGACAAAGUAUAACUAGGCUUCCUUCAGGCAAGCAGAAACUGAACUGUAUCACAGAGUUGUGAGACUGACAAAAAGAAGGCAUGACAAAUUUGAAUCUAAUAGACUAACCAGAUCAGAGGGUGCUGUAACAAGUUACCUUUAAGCCAUUCUAAAUCUCUUGAGUCUUAGGGCAUGUGUAGAUGAAAUGGGGGCCCUAAAUUGAAGCAGUGGAUUUUAAAAAACACCGCUUCAGUUUAGGGCUGAUUAAACCCCCAUGUCCUGCACACACCCUGCUGACUUACCGGCCUCUCCAGAUGGGAAGGGAGGGU